rnacentral:rRNA from 1 species
UGGGGAAUAUUGGACAAUGGGCGCAAGCCUGAUCCAGCCAUACCGCGUGGGUGAAGAAGGCCUUCGGGUUGUAAAGCCCUUUUGUUGGGAAAGAAAUCCGGCUGGUUAAUACCCGGUUGGGAUGACGGUACCCAAAGAAUAAGCACCGGCUAACUUCGUG